CGUUGAGCUAACCGGUACUAAUGAACCGUGAGGCUUAACCUUACAACGCCGAAG
rnacentral:rRNA from 13 species